rnacentral:snRNA from 1 species
GGAUGUGAGGGCAACCUUAGUGUGGCAUCUGUCACAUCAUUGAUUGCUGGGGUCAACUCAGCAGAUCUGACGGGCUAGGCAAGUGUCCCCUUUCUAUCUCAUUGCUCCAUGUGCGUCCCUCCCAAAGUCACAUGCUCAAUGUGUGAGAGUGAAUUCCUUGAAUGAGGAGGAUAGUUCUUGAGUCUCCAAGGAUAUAUGAGCAGCUACUUACCUCUGCUAGAUGCCCUAGGACAAGCUCUCAAAGUCCAUUUGGAACAGUGUAGGGUAAUUAAGCUUCUGAGACUCCAGACACGUUCAAAUGAGGUGCUACAUAGUGUGGCAUUCUUUAUUCU